rnacentral:rRNA from 1 species
GACGAACGCUGGCGGCGUGCCUAAUACAUGCAAGUAGGACGCAGUUGCGAACGGGUGAGUAACGCGUAGGUAACUGCCUAUUAGAGGGGGGUAACUAUUGGAAACGAUAGCUAAUACCGCAUACUAGUAGAUGGACCUGCGUUGUAUUAGCUAGUAGGUAGGGUAAUGGCCUACCUAGGCAACGAUACAUAGCCGAACUGGGAAGGUGAUCGGCCACACUGGGACGUAGACACGGGCCAGACUCCUACGGGAGGCAGCAGUAGGGAAUCAUUGGCAAUUGGGCGAAACCCGACCGAGCAACGCCGCGGUAGUGAAGAAAGUUUUCGGAUCGUUAAGCUCUGUUGUUAAGGAAGCGGUACUUAACCAGAAAGGAACGGCUAACUACGUGCCAGCAGCCGCGGUAAUUC